rnacentral:rRNA from 1 species
UACGGGGGGGGCAAGCGUUGUUCGGAAUUACUGGGCGUAAAGGGCUCGCAGGCGGCCGACUAAGUCAGACGUGAAAUCCCUUGGCUUAACCAAGGAAUGGCGUCUGAUACUGGACGGCUUGAAUCCGGGAGAGGGAUGUGGAAUUCCAGGUGUAGCGGUGAAAUGCGUAGAUAUCUGGAGGAACACCGGUGGCGAAGGCGGCAUCCUGGACCGGUAUUGACGCUGAGGAGCGAAAGCCAGGGGAGCAAACAGG